rnacentral:misc_RNA from 1 species
GUCCGUCCUCUCUCUAGCCUUGUGCAGGCUCAUUACACGCUUGCUGACCAUGCUACGACUGCCCUUCGACGACUGCAGUCAGUCAGGAUCUCUAUACAGUUUCUAUCCGAGUUGUCUUGCUCUCUCAAACGAGCUACACUGUUUGCAGGUCGCGAUGAGCGAUCGGGCGCAUCCCCAUCCAAGCGAGAACCACGGGUCGUCUCUUCCUUCACGGGUCGAGGCGACCCCUCGAUGACCUUGAGCUCGCUCGUACCGCCCCCUCGUCCCCGAGGUUUGGGUUGUCGUGCCUCUGCCGUCGUCGGACCAGAGGCUGUACGGCGCAGCGCGGCGGAUGCGUGCCUUUCUGAACCUGUUCCCCCCUCACUCGCCUCUUCUUCCUCGUCGACCGUCGUCUACUCGCCUCGCCUCGUCGGUCGUUGCGCAGUGUGGAGGUCCUCGUUGGGAACUGGAGCGUCGGGGAGGGCGUGUAGCUUGGGCGGGAGUCUGGGCUUGCAACGAGGCCAG